CUGCCACGAUAGGCUGGCCAUCAUGUCAAGACUGGUCGGUGAUCGUUCUGUCGUCGAAUUGUAUUGUCGUCGUGCCAGUCUGAGUUACCGUGCCCGUCUUAUUACCGCAUCGGGUCAAUCACUUAUUGGUCUAGCUACUGUGUUGGUCUAGCUACUGUGUUACUCUAGCCACUUGGUCAAAAUCAUCUCUUCCCCAUUCCUCUAUCCUAUCUCUUUCUUCUCCUUCCAUCUAUCCUCUUACCCUUUUCUUCUUCUUUUGAAUGUGCAUUCGCCCAAAGACAUGGUGGGGUCCCUUAGCCCACUUGUCUUGUAAAUUAACUGUGUGUGUGAUUGGAAAAACAGGAGAGUAUAGGCCCAGGGAGGCGAUUUCGAACUAGUUGUAGGACUGUGGGGCUUUUCUUCAUGAUCUAAGAGGGCGCUCACGAGAGUCAGCCCGAGUGAGUCACGGACUCAGGUGAGGUGUAUCCCGCCUCACAUUAAAAUUCCUCUCUUAUAGGUUGGUAUACAUGCCCUUGUUUCCUAACAAGGUUCCCGAGAGAGCGGUCUCAAGUCCCGAGUUCCCUUGAAACCCGAGACAUGGGCUACCAGGUCAUCCCGACCCAGAGGGCAAGAUCGAGGCACCUAACCACUUUGUGGUCUUCGAAGUGCCACCCGAAGGCCAAAUGAUUUUCUUUGCUAGCUACUCAUCAUCGACUUCCCACCUUCUCUCUUUUACAAUAAAAAAAGGAUAUGUACAGAUUCUGUGUGCUCCUUUUGCCACUCUAAUUAUGAUAAUAUUUAUCAUUUGCUUUUUCAUUGUGUUUUCUCACAGGGUAUUUGGAGAUAUGUUGCAUGGAGGUGUGGUAAAAGGCUUAUUUUAGACACAUCUAUUUCAAACAUGCUUAGGACCUGGAUUGCCUUCAGAUUCAAGUCAAGAGGGUCUUUUGAAUGUCUGGCUUUCACUUUUCUUUUCUACAGUCUGGAUACUAUGGGAGGAAUGAAAUCAUUGAGUUUUUCAAGGGAAGGUAUUCAGACGAGAGCGCUUGCUCAGGAGAAUUACCUCUCAUGUUAAUCAUUGGCAGACGCUAAAGCCUGAUCCUUUCACUUAUCAGAGAGAGAAAUUGUUGAUAACCUCCAUUUCAAACUGAAUGAUGAUGGUGCUUCACUUCAAACCCUGGGCUUGCAGGUAAUGGAGGCGUAACUAGAAGUGAUGACUUAUCUUUCAUCGCAACAUUUAGCAAUCCCAUUGGUAUAACAUCAAAUAACUAUGCAGAGUUUCUAGGUUUGCAAAUUGGCAUUGACCUGGCCACUUGGCUUAAUUGUUUC
rnacentral:lncRNA from 1 species